ACACUCCUGCGGGAGGCAGCAGUGGGGAAUAUUGGACAAUGGGCGCAAGCCUGAUCCAGCCAUGCCGCGUGAGUGAUGAAGGCCCUAGGGUUGUAAAGCUCUUUCACCGGUGAAGAUAAUGACGGUAACCGGAGAAGAAGCCCCGGCUAACUUCGUGCCAGCAGCCGCGGUAAUACGAAGGGGGCUAGCGUUGUUCGGAUUUACUGGGCGUAAAGCGCACGUAGGCGGACUAUUAAGUCAUGGGUGAAAUCCCGGGGCUCAACCCCGGAACUGCCUUUGAUACUGGUAGUCUUGAGUUCGAGAGAGGUGAGUGGAAUUCCGAGUGUAGAGGUGAAAUUCGUAGAUAUUCGGAGGAACACCAGUGGCGAAGGCGGCUCACUGGCUCGAUACUGACGCUGAGGUGCGAAAGCGUGGGGAGCAAACAGGAUUAGAAACCCCGGUAGUCCC
rnacentral:rRNA from 1 species